UAAGAGAAGGGAUAUAUCGUACUUUCAA
rnacentral:piRNA from 1 species